rnacentral:rRNA from 1 species
UGGUGGAGUGAUUUGUCUGGUUAAUUCCGUUAACGAACGAGACCUCGACCUGCUAAAUAGUUUAGCGAAUCCUUCUGGAUUCGAUUGCAACUUCUUAGAGGGACUAUCGGUGUGUAGCCGAUGGAAGUUCGAGGCAAUAACA